rnacentral:rRNA from 1 species
CCUACGGGAGGCAGCAGUGGGGAAUCUUGCGCAAUGCGCGAAAGCGUGACGCAGCAACGCCGCGUGGGGGAAGACGGCCUUCGGGUUGUAAACCCCUUUCAGUUGGGACGAAGCCCAGCCGGUGAAUAGCCGGUUUGGGUGACGGUACCUUCACAAGAAGCACCGGCUAACUACGUGCCAGCAGCCGCGGUAAUACGUAGGGUGCAAGCGUUGUCCGGAAUCAUUGGGCGUAAAGAGCGUGUAGGUGGCCCGAUCAGUCCGCUGUGAAAGCCCAGGGCUCAACCCUGGAAUGCCGGUGGAUACUGUCGGGCUAGAGUCCGGAAGGGGCGAGUGGAAUUCCUGGUGUAGCGGUGAAAUGCGCAGAUACCAGGAGGAACACCUAUGGCGAAGGCAGCUCGCUGGGACGGUACUGACACUGAGACGCGAAAGCGUGGGGAGCAAACAGGAUUAGAUACCCUGGUAGUCCACGCUGUAAACGAUGGGCACUAGGUGUGGGGGGUGUCGACUCCCUCCGUGCCGAAGCUAACGCAUUAAGUGCCCCGCCUGGGGAGUACGGCCGCAAGGCUAAAACUCAAAGGAAUUGACGG